rnacentral:rRNA from 1 species
GACGAACGCUGGCGGCGUGCUUAACACAUGCAAGUCGAACGGAAAGGCCCUGCUUUUGUGGGGUGCUCGAGUGGCGAACGGGUGAGUAACACGUGAGUAACCUGCCCUUUACUUUGGGAUAACUUCAGGAAACUGGGGCUAAUACCGGAUAGGAGCUCCUGCUGCAUGGUGGGGGUUGGAAAGUUUCGGCGGUUGGGGAUGGACUCGCGGCUUAUCAGCGUGUUGGUGGGGUAGUGGCUUACCAAGGCUUUGACGGGUAGCCGGCCUGAGAGGGUGAGCGGCCACAUUGGGACUGAGAUACGGCACAGACUCCUACGGGAGGGAGCAGUGGGGAAUAUUGCACAAUGGGCGGAAGCCUGAUGCAGCAACGCCGCGUGCGGGAUGACGGCCUUCGGGUUGUAAACCGCUUUCGCCUGUGACGAAGCGUGAGUGACGGUAAUGGGUAAAGAAGCACCGGCUAACUACGUG